rnacentral:rRNA from 1 species
ACACGUAGGGGGCGAGCGUUGUUCGGAAUCAUUGGGCGUAAAGGGCGCGCAGGCGGCCGUCCAAGUCCGGUGUUAAAUGGUCGGGCUCAACCCGAUCAUGCGCUGGAAACUGGGCGGCUUGAGUCCCGUAGGGGAUGCCGGAAUUCCAGGGGUAGGGGGGAAAUCUGUAGAUAUCUGGAAGAACACCGAUGGCGAAGGCAGGCAUCUGGCCGGAGACUGACGCUGAGGCGCGAAGGCGCGGGGAGCGAACAGGUUUAGAUACCCUGGUAGUCCGCGCAGUAAACGAUGCGCACCAGGUGUCGGGCGGCAGCGCCCGGUACCGGAGCUAACGCGAUGAGUGCGCCGCCUGGGGAGUAUGCCCGCAAGGGUGAAACUCAAAUGAAUUGACGGGG